rnacentral:lncRNA from 1 species
UAUUACAAAUAUUUUCUAAUAAAAUAUAAUAUUUAAUAAUUUUUAUUGUAAAUUUUUGGAUAAAUAUAAUGUACAAAUUUAUAUUAAUUUUUAAUAAAUUAAAAUAAUUAUUACGUGCAUUUGCACGUACAUUCUACAAGCCCCAUUUUUUGGCGGGAUAAAAAAUUGAUUCUUCUUUCCUUACGUAAAGUAAAUAGCAGAAUUAAACACAACUUUUAUUUCCUCUUUAUUUUUAUAACAGAAAAAAAAAUUUAUGCUUAUCCAAAUUUUUACCAAUCGAAGAAUAUCUACUAUGAAUUUUUAUUUAAUUCUUCUUUAUCUCUAUCUGUAAUAUAAUAUCUAUACUAUCUAAAUUACGUAUUUCAAAUUUCUAUUGGUCGACAGAUCCAUUUUUUGGCGGAAAAAAAAUUUACUCAUCCAAAUUUUUGCCAACCGAAAGAUAUCUAAUGUGAAGCUAUAUUUUAAUUCAAAAUUUAUUUAAUUUUUUUUUAUCUCUAAAAUAGAAACAAAUUCAUGCUUAUCUAAAUUUUUGCCAGAAUAUCAAUAUGUUAAAAAAUAGUACUUCUAUCCAUCUAUUUUACAUUACGAUUUAAAUUUGAGUUUAAAUCGUGAAUUAAAUUUAAUUUUCAAUUUUUUAUAUCAAAUCUAUCCAUCUAUUUUAUAUUAAAAUUUAAAUUUGAUAUUGUAGAUAUUUUCUAAUAAAAUAUAACAUAUAAAUUUACAAAUAUUUUAUCUAAAUUUUUGAAUAAAUAUCAUUUAUAAAUUUUUAUUGAUUUAAAAUAAAUUAAAAUAAUUGUUACGUGCAUUUGCACGUACGCUCAACUAGUAUAUAUAUAGAGAGAGAGAGAGCUAGUCUCUUAUACUAUCUAUAGUACCGGAGCUUACCGGAGCUUCGGUACUAUAGUCUCGUUUUUUAUCUUAGGGUGUUCAAAUUAACGAUCCACACCGUUAAAACUGAUCUAGCGUAUUUAAAGUCUUUAGAAAUACAAUUUUAUAUUUUUCGACAUAGUUUACUUUGUGAUCAAACCAUUUCAAAAUUAUCAAUUUUCAAUGGCUACUACGGCGAGUUUGGAGUUUAACGGUAUAGAAGAAUCUAAAUUUCUUCAAAUUUUGAUUAAAAAUACUUUAAACUGUCUAGAUUAAGGUUAACAUUCUUGAUCUUGAAUUUAAAUAUCCUAUACUCAAAUUCUAAAGAUUAUUCAAUUUCCACCGUUUAUUUUGAUAUAAUUUAUUUACUAAGUAACGAUGUCGAAAAAAACUAAAAUUUUAUUUCUAAGAACUUUAUAUACUCUAUAUCAUAUUUAACUGUGUGGAUCGUUAAUUUGAACACAAUAAGAUCGAAAACAAGACUAUUAGCUCCGGUACUAUAGAUAGUAUAGUAGCCUAAUUC